rnacentral:SRP_RNA from 1 species
GCCGGGCGUGGGUGUGGUGGUGUGUGCCUGUAGUCCCAGCUACUGGGGAGGCUGAGAUGGGAGGAUCGUUUGAGUGCAGGAGUUCUGGGCUGUGAUACUCUAUGCCGAUCGGGUGUCCGCACUAAGUUCGGCAUCAAUAUGGUGACCUCCCGGAAGUGAGGGACCACCAGGUUGCUGAAGGAGGGGUGAACCAGCCCAGGUCAGAAAUGGAGCAGGUCAAAACUCCCAUGCUGAUCAGCAGUGGGAUGGCUCCUGUGAAUAGCCACUGCACUCCAGCCUGGGCAACACAGUGAGAACUUAUCUCU